rnacentral:rRNA from 1 species
GAAGCCUUCGGGCUUAGUGGCGCACGGGUGCGUAACGCGUGGGAAUCUGCCCUUGGGUUCGGAAUAACAGUUAGAAAUGACUGCUAAUACCGGAUGAUGUCUUCGGACCAAAGAUUUAUCGCCCAGGGAUGAGCCCGCGUAGGAUUAGGUAGUUGGUGGGGUAAAGGCCUACCAAGCCGACGAUCCUUAGCUGGUCUGAGAGGAUGAUCAGCCACACUGGGACUGAGACACGGCCCAGACUCCUACGGGAGGCAGCAGUGGGGAAUAUUGGACAAUGGGCGCAAGCCUGAUCCAGCAAUGCCGCGUGAGUGAUGAAGGCCUUAGGGUCGUAAAGCUCUUUUACCAGGGAUGAUAAUGACAGUACCUGGAGAAUAAGCUCCGGCUAACUCCGUGCCAGCAGCCGCGGUAAUACGGAGGGAGCUAGCGUUGUUCGGAAUUACUGGGCGUAAAGCGCACGUAGGCGGCUAUUCAAGUCAGAGGUGAAAGCCCGGGGCUCAACCCCGGAACUGCCUUUGAAACUAGGUAGCUAGAAUCUUGGAGAGGCGAGUGGAAUUCCGAGUGUAGAGGUGA